AGCUUGCUCUGUGGGAUCAGUGGCGAACGGGUGAGUAACACGUGAGCAACCUGCCCCUGACUCUGGGAUAAGCGCUGGAAACGGCGUCUAAUACUGGAUAUGUGACGUGACCGCAUGGUCUGCGUCUGGAAAGAACUUCGGUUGGGGAUGGGCUCGCGGCCUAUCAGCUUGUUGGUGAGGUAAUGGCUCACCAAGGCGUCGACGGGUAGCCGGCCUGAGAGGGUGACCGGCCACACUGGGACUGAGACACGGCCCAGACUCCUACGGGAGGCAGCAGUGGGGAAUAUUGCACAAUGGGCGCAAGCCUGAUGCAGCAACGCCGCGUGAGGGACGACGGCCUUCGGGUUGUAAACCUCUUUUAGCAGGGAAGAAGCGAAAGUGACGGUACCUGCAGAAAAAGCGCCGGCUAACUACGUGCCAGCAGCCGCGGUAAUACGUAGGGCGCAAGCGUUAUCCGGAAUUAUUGGGCGUAAAGAGCUCGUAGGCGGUUUGUCGCGUCUGCUGUGAAAUCCGGAGGCUCAACCUCCGGCCUGCAGUGGGUA
rnacentral:rRNA from 1 species